CGGCAACAGCUCAAAUUUGAAAUCUGGCACCCGCCCGAGUUGUAAUUUGCAGAGGAGGCCUUGGGGUCGCCCCGGUCCAAGUUCCUUUGAACAGGACGUCGUAGAGGGUGAGAAUCCCGUACGCGGCCGGAUGGCUUCUCCGUGUAAAGCCCCUUCGAC
rnacentral:rRNA from 1 species